AUGCUCAAACAUCGGUAAAUAAAUCCACACCUAUAUGAGAAAACUUUAAAUCAACACUAUGUGAGACAAUAACACUCCCUACUGGACACAUGGAAGACAUGGUUGAGGCUAUUUUUGCAAACUGGCUUAUUUGGCCAAAAGGUGGCUAGAAGUGCAAAAUUUGGCUAUGACCCUGCAAAGCCAAGAACCUAAGAUUUACUAGGAAAACCGGACCCUAUGUGGGUUGCCUACGUAUCAUGCCCCGAAAAACGAGAAUCAGGUAUGCGUAGUUCGGGCAGAUUGGAUACGGGCGUGAAUUAAAAAAACAACUAGCUUAGAGAAAAUAUGUUUUUUGUCUCUUUUUUUUGAAAAAAAUGAUGAACAUGCAACAUUUUUUUUGGAGUUUCUUUUUCCUUUUUUUUUGAUUUUUGAUUUUUCGGAAAAUGAUGAAAAAGUGCAAAAUCUUUUUUUUGAAUUUUCAAGCUCCUCUUUUUUUCUUAACAAAAAUGUGAUAGAAAACAUAAUUAGGCCCCACUCGCUUUAUCUUCACACUUCACCCUCGCUUUUUCCCUUUUUUUCUUUUUUUUUUCAUUUUUUCAUUUGCCCUACUAUCAUUGGUCCGCCAAAUGACCUUUUUACUCUUGAAUAAAUGCAACAUGUAGCACAUAGGAUGCAUCAAGAUAGUCUGUUAUUUUGGAUACAUUUGUCCUAGACGGACCCAACCCCUGUGUUGAGUCCCCUAGGUCAAGUUGCACAUGAUGCAAACAAGCGUUCCUACUAGGGAUUCGGCAUGAAGUAUUGUUAUACUAGGUUUAAAAACCUGGGUUUAUUUGUUCUAGACCUGGCUUACCCGAGUGGACAACUUGAGUCGAGGGGGGGCAGCGUACCGGGAAUACAGAAGCUUCACCGGCUUUGCAACUUGUCCAAACCUCGUUCUAAAUUUGGAAUAUGACUCUAACAGAAAAGAAAUCACACGAAAUGCACACUUCUUCAUGAUUCAGAAGACUCAGAGAAAGGAGGGAUUUCGCAAUAGUUUAUAUACAGUUCACGAAAUAUCGAAGCGGUAAAAGCAAUCAAUUAGCACACAAGGCCCAAAUCAUGUAACAAAAUUAGAUAAUGGAUAAAGCCAACUAUAAUAAUUAUUCUAAGGUCGAAUUCUUGAACCCUGAACCAGAGAUUCUGGGUUCGAUACCCAGCAGAGUCGCCAGAGCUGUCACACCUCCUUUUUCCUACACCCCCGUAAGGAUGUGUAAAGGAGUUUUUCCAAUUAAAGGACAAUCGAAACGGGAUUAUUGCAAUUAAAGAUUUAGAGUCGCCACUUGGGAGAUUUAUGGUGUCCCAAGUCACCGGUUCAAAUCUCGAAUCGAGGAAAGAAUGACUCUGUAUCACAGUCCGCGAACCAGAAAUCCGGGUAAGGAAUUCUGUUAACCCGGGAGAAGGUGUUAGGCACUCCCGAGUUCUGUGGUCUAGCCGGUCGCUCAACUGUUAUAUUUGGUUUAACUCUCUGAUUUUAGAAACACGUUUUAACCUAUGAUGCCAUUUUAAAAACUUUUAACCGCUUUUAAUUAAUUUUUAAAGAAGAUUGAACGUCGCUUAAAACGUGCCUUUGGAUCGCGCCAUAUGAAAUGCACCCGUAAUCCUAAACACAUUUUGGUCAACGUUUUAAGAUUUUGAUUUAGGUCACAUGAAAUGCAAACCGGAGUUUAGGAAGGUAAUAUUAUUAAAUAACGCGCCUAAAGCAACUACGCGUUUACACUGUGCGAGGGCCAUGGAAUUUUCUAAAUGGCACGCCUCGAAUUCUAAGGUUGAGUUCAAGCUAAUUAAAACAAGGGCUACGCAUUUGAGAUUUUAUUUGGCGCGGCACGCCUCAAAUUAUUAAUAAUCUAAAAGCAGGUCCUUAGUUAUUUCAAAGUAAAUGGGCCAGCAACCUAUUAUCCGAUUCAUUUGAACUUUGAGAAUCAACAACCGCUUCCAAUAACUUGUAUAUGCCAACCAAAAUAUUCCAAACACAAAUGGCAAUUGAUAGGUUAUGAUCCCAGCAGCCCAUAAUUUUUGAAAUCCUUACUAAUACCAAACCCACCACCAAACUGAUUUAUGCAAAGAAAAUUGUUGUUAGCAUACAACACAAGUCGUUCAUCAAAGAUGGAUUUUAAACCAUUUGCCAGAAUACAGUACUAUAUUUCUGAAGUAAUUUCCUAAAAAUCAAACCAAUACACAACACAUAGAACAAUCAACAAUAUCAAGUUAAAAAUGAAUAAUCAUGGUCCAACGAAAUCAGUGCGACAAGAAACAUCAUAGCUACCGUAACGAGAUAGUAAAAUAGAUGAGAAGGCAACAAAAUAGAAAAACAAUCCAAACACUCUACUGUAAACGUUUGGUCCAUACUACAAGAAUUCGAAUAGUUACGAGUAUUACCCAAACAAACAAUUGGAGAAACAUUUUAUUGCCUGAUGAAAUAACAACAAAUAACUAAAUGAAGCUAAACCCCAGCUUCUGAAUCCAACAAAAAAUAAAAACCAAUUUGCAGAGAAAGAAACCAACUGACCGGAUCAGAACCUCAAGGACGACCUCGGAUCUUCUAACGGAAAGCUGGUCAACUCGACCUAGACCAGACCGGAGAGCCUCAACGACGACCUCGAACAGACCUCAAAUCAGAAGCUUUGAACGAAUCUCACCGGAUUCAACUCGACUGAGCUUGGACGACGGUUUUGGAUGUCACGAGGGAUGUUUUAUGCUGGAUUUUGAUCUUUGGAUAUUGUUUGGUGGUUUGUCGGAUUUCUCGCCGGAUCCAUCACCUUCAGGCGCAACAGUGACGGUCUGAAAUCGCUCGACAGAGGAGCUUCGUUUGGUGGUGGAUGGCUGGUCUAGACUGGGUCUGCUGAUGGGUGUUCUUGGACAAAGAGGGUCGCUGGUUUGCUGAGAGGAAGGAGAAGGGUCGUUUGGUGUGGGGGAAACGGAGAAGACGAGGUCGGGGGGGUAGGUCCUAUGUGAAGCUGCGUAGCUUUUUUCCAAUCUGUUUUCGGCGUUCUCUUCAGACUUUUUAGUCUUAGGCGUUANNN
rnacentral:lncRNA from 1 species